rnacentral:rRNA from 1 species
UACGUAGGGUGCAAGCGUUGUCCGGAUUUAUUGGGCGUAAAGAGCUCGUAGGCGGCUUGUUGCGUCGACUGUGAAAACCCGCGGCUUAACUGCGGGCUUGCAGUUGAUACGGGCAGGCUAGAGUUCGGUAGGGGAGUGUGGAAUUCCCGAGUGUAGCGGUGAAAUGCGCAGAUAUUGGGAGGAACACCAGCGGCGAAGGCGGCACUCUGGGCUGGUACUGACGCUGAGGAGCGAAAGCGUGGGUAGCGAACAGG